rnacentral:lncRNA from 1 species
CAACUUCCGGGCAGAAGGAAGAGACAGAGGAAGGAGAAAAAAAAGUGACCAGAGGCAAGGUGCAAGGAGCAGGAAACCAAGAGAAAGCUUAUACCUCCAGACAGAAUGCAAAGGCAAAAAUAAUUGGCAUCUCUGUAAUAGCGAUCUCGCACAACUUAGUGCUGAGCAGGAGGCUGUCCCUCUGGCCUGACUAA